CAGUAGCCGCGGUAAUACCAGCAGCCCAAGUGGUGGUCGCGAUUAUUGGGCCUAAAGCGCUCGUAGCCGGGCCGGUAAGUCCCUUGUGAAAUCGGACGGCCUAACCGUUCGGCGUGCAAGGGAUACUGUCGGUCUUGAGGCCGGGAGACGUCCGAGGUACUCCGGGGGUAGCGGUGAAAUGUUCUGAUCCUCGGGGGACCACCGGUGGCGAAGGCGUUCGACGAGAACGGGCCUGACGGUGAGGGGCGAAGGCUAGGGGAGCAAACGGGAUUAGAUACCCGAGUAGUCCCUGUCUCUUAUU
rnacentral:rRNA from 1 species